rnacentral:lncRNA from 1 species
GCGCCCGCGGGGGUCCACGGGCUGGGGGGGGGGCUCCAGGCAGCGCCCUCGCCGCCGACCCGCAGGUGCCGGAGCGCAGCCGGGUCAGGCCCCAGGCGGGCCCUGCACCCCCCAGGAGGGCCCGGCUCAGCGGGCGGGGCUCCCCGAGAGGCCGCGGUUGCCUGCCGGGCUCCCGAGGGUCUUCCCCGCGGCGCAUCCCCUCCCGCGGCAGCUGAAAGGUGGACUGCUGUCUUCUGAGGACAUUGUGUAUGAUUUCUUUCCCCUCUUUUAAGUCUACACCUAAUGCUUUGUGGAACCUGCUUUGGGAAAAGAUGGCUUCACUACCAAAAAUGAACGUCAACAAAAA